CAGAAAUUUUAAGAGUACAUUAUUUAGGCAAUUUGCUCUUGUAUUAGAAAUGUAGUUAUUGAGUUUAAUAAAUUAAUUCAUAAAUCAAAUGUUUAUUGAAAUGUAGCUAUUUAUUAAAUUAAAGAUUUAAUUUAAUAAAAAGUUUAUAAAAUAAGAAAUGACUGAAUAAAAUUAAUAAAAUAAUUAAAAUGGUUAUUACAAACAAUCUACAAGAAAUCUCCAAACAAUCUACAAAAAAAAAUUCAAUUUCAUUUUCCCAAACAUCCCAAUCCAAAAAAUUGACACUAGGGGCAUUGGAACUAAACCUAACUUUGCAUACAUUUCUGUCAGCACAAACAUAGGCUAUUAAAUAUAGGCUACCAAAAUAAAGAUGGAUGGUAUGAAUAUAGGCAUAUAUACUUCUAGCUUAAUGGGUUCAAGCGUAAUUUUUUUAUUACAUUUUUGAUUUCAUUAAAUUAAAAUAAAUGUAAUCAGAUUCAAUUACUUAAUGUCAACGCGGGUUUUUUUUUUUUUUUUUUUUUUUUUGACGUUUUCAGAAUGGAUUAAGCGCUUCCUUCCCGCCUGGGAUUAAGUUUGGUCCUUCCAAGUCGCCGUACACUCAUAGGAAGUCAUUUCUCGGUUGCUAAGACAACAGUGGUCCGCUUCGCUAAGGAACGAUGUGCUAACCACAGAAAUUAUCAGGUUUAAUCAAAUUAAAUAAAACUCCUGAUCACUGAAAACCGUAGUCAGUUAGACUGGGAAUGCAGGGACGAUAUAAUGGCUGUUCCUGUGUGGGCUCUUUCCCUCCCGCUGCCUGCAGUCGUCAUGAUCGCUGUGGGGCUCUAUAUGAUUUUCCUUGCGACUGUGCUGUGGUGUCAUCACUGUCUCAAGGCCAAGUGUGAUCCUCAGUGUUCAGACUGCUGCGUGAGUUUCUCUCCUUGCGAGUACUGUUUAGUGUGUGCCCAGUCAUGUGACUGCCGUCCACCAUCUCUGCGAUCCUGUCUGGACUAUUCCUGCCCCUCCCCUAAUUGUGAGAUGUGGGAUUGUGCCUGUACCUGUCAGCCUCCAGAGUGUGACUCCAUCAACUGCUUCUGCUUUGAGAUCAAGUUUAAGUAG
ensembl:lncRNA